rnacentral:rRNA from 1 species
AUUGAACGCUGGCGGCAGGCUUAACACAUGCAAGUCGAGCGAGAGGCGGACGGGUGAGUAAAGUCUGGUACACUGCCUGAUGGAGGGGGAUAACUACUGGAAACGGUAGCUAAUAACGCAAACCAUCAGUUGUGACAAGAUGGGAUGAGCUAGUAGGUGGGGUAAUGGCUCACCUAGGGGACGAUCACUAGCUGGUCUGAGAGGCUGACCAGCCAACCUGGAACUGAGACACGGUCCAGACUCCUACGGGAGGCAGCAGUGGGGAAUAUUGCAAAAUGGGCACAAGCCUGAUGCAGCAAGGCCGCGUGUGUGAAGAAGGCCUUCGGGUUGUAAAGCACUUUCAGCGAGGAGGCGUUACUCGAAGAAGAAGCACCGGCUAACUCCGUGCCAGCAGCCGCGGUAAUAC